AUGCAAUGCUUCUCAUUUGAUCACUGAAGUUAAGCAACGUUUGGCCUAGUCAGUACUUAGAUGAGUGACCAUUUUGGAACAUCAGGUGCUGUAAG